AUUGAACGCUGGCGGCAUGCUUUACACAUGCAAGUCGGACGGCAGCAUAAAAGAGCUUGCUCUUUUGAUGGCGAGUGGCGAACGGGUGAGUAAUGCAUCGGAACGUACCGAGUAGUGGGGGAUAACUGUCCGAAAGGAUGGCUAAUACCGCAUAUUCUCUGAGGAGGAAAGCAGGGGACCUUAGGGCCUUGCGCUAUUUGAGCGGCCGAUGUCUGAUUAGCUAGUUGGUGGGGUAAGAGCCCACCAAGGCGACGAUCAGUAGCGGGUCUGAGAGGAUGAUCCGCCACACUGGGACUGAGACACGGCCCAGACUCCUACGGGAGGCAGCAGUGGGGAAUUUUGGACAAUGGGCGCAAGCCUGAUCCAGCCAUGCCGCGUGUAUGAAGAAGGCCUUCGGGUUGUAAAGUACUUUUGUCAGGGAAGAAAAGCCUGAGGAUAACACCCUCAGGUCAUGACGGUACCUGAAGAAUAAGCACCGGCUAACUACGUGCCAGCAGCCGCGGUAAUACGUAGGGUGCGAGCGUUAAUCGGAAUUACUGGGCGUAGAGCGAGCGCAGACGGUUAUUUAAGCAAGACGUGAAAGCCCCGGGCUCAACCUGGGAACUGCGUUUUGAACUGGGUAACUAGAGUGUGUCAGAGGGGGGUAGAAUUCCACGUGUAGCAGUGAAAUGCGUAGAGAUGUGGAGGAAUACCGAUGGCGAAAGGCAGCCCCCUGGGAUAACACUGACGUUCAUGCUCGAAAGCGUGGGUAGCAAACAGG
rnacentral:rRNA from 1 species